rnacentral:rRNA from 1 species
AGGACGAACGCUGGCGGCGUGCUUAACACAUGCAAGUCGAGCGGAAAGGCCCUUUCGGGGUACUCGAGCGGCGAACGGGUGAGUAACACGUGAGUAAUCUGCCCCUAGCUCUGGGAUAGCUCCGGGAAACCGGGGAUUAAUACCGGAUAAGACCACUUUAGACAUCUGCCGUGGUGGAAAGAAUUUCGGCUAGGAUGUGCUCGCGGCCUAUCAGCUUGUUGGUGAGGUAACGGCUCACCAAGGCGACGACGGGUA